rnacentral:rRNA from 1 species
CAGCAGCCGCGGGAAUACGAAGGGUGCAAGCGUUAAUCGGAAUUACUGGCGUAAAGGGUGCGUAGGCGGCUCGGUAAGUCUUAUGUGAAAUCUUCGGGCUCAACUCGAAGUCUGCAUGAGAAACUGCCGGGCUUGAGUGUGGGAGAGGUGAGUGGAAUUUCCGGUGUAGCGGUGAAAUGCGUAGAUAUCGGAAGGAACACCUGUGGCGAAAGCGGCUCACUGGACCACAACUGACGCUGAUGCACGAAAGCUAGGGGAGCAAACAGGAUUAGAUACCCGGGUAGUCCCUGUCUCUUAUACA